UCUCCCUCUCCCCCUCUCUCUCCCUCUCCCUCUCUUUUGCUUGAAUUUGUCCUACAUUUCGUAAUAUUACGUGCCUGCCAUCCUUAUCCUAUGCCAGAGGUACACCACCAGUCUCACCCCCAUUCCGGCGUGGAGUUCUCUGAGUUCGGUGGCACUUGGGAUAUUCCACGUCAGUGCCAUGGGAAGAAAAGGGUAAGCAAAAAGCAGAAGGAUUAAUGCAAAAAUAUAUACAUCUAUAUAUCUGAUGUUCUAGUAUCCAAUUGCUCCUGCUUCAGCCUUUUAUCCAAAGCCUUGAGAGGGAUCUGCCUCAUCCAGGAGCUUCUCCUGCUUCGUUAGAGUAUCUUCGUUUUCUGUAUCAGACGCUGGCACUCCACGCCAGUGCACGGCUCCAUGGAAUGCCUGCUGUUGGACACUUGCAGACCUCUGCCACCAAACAACCUCCUGCAUUGGAAAUCGGGGGACUCCUCCAGGAUCUUAUGCGCGCUUGCUGUUUGAAGCUGCAGAAAAGUGAAUAAUCAAUUAAGUAUUGAUUUCUUGUAAGAUUUGGUAAAUUUCAAAGGCAAGACAAAGAGGAUGGCUUAAGGAAACACUGCAGGGACUUGGCGUAAAUUAGACAACUAACGGAAGCGCAGAAUAAAAUAACACCUCAACUGAAGAUUUCCUUGGAAGAAUUAGCACUAGCUAUUGGAAGACAAUGGUGGAUUUAAUCAAAACAGCAGGCAUGCAAGAAUUUUACCCGUGAACCAGAAAAAGGAGCUAAUUAUAACCACCUUUUUAAUGGAGCUAAUUUGACUGAAUGGAUGCAAAUGUGCUUUAUUUAUGGAUGAAGAAGCAAGCCUUACUGCAAUGAUCUUGGGAUCAUCGUAUCUGCUAAGCUUUGCAGCUCCUGUUACCUUCAGUACAUUUUUAUUUCCGGAGAAGGUAUUUAUAUGUAAACAACAGCUAACCAUGCAAAAGAUUCAUCGGGACAAUAUACUAUGGUAUAUGAGAUAUAAUCAUAAUUUUGCAGCCUUUCAGGAUUUCCCCUAACUUGGGGGUUUUGCAACCUUUGCGUGCAAUGGGUUAUGGUAAACAAUAAAUGAAUGAUGUUAAA
rnacentral:lncRNA from 1 species